GGUUGGACCUCUCCCGCUUAGGGCUCUCCGUGCUCCAUGGCCUUGAGCCGGAGUGCAAGGGGCCGGGCCGAUUGUUUAGCAUAUCAUCAAAAAGGCCGGGGGCACUUUUGCACGUGGAGCAGCCGCCACCGCAGGACCUGAUAUCCCGAGAGGUGACCUGGAGAGGCAGGUCUGGAGCCGCGCGGACCCCGAGACGAAGUUUCAAGCUGUUGCCCAGGCCAGUCUUCAACUCGUGAUGUCAAAGGGGUGUGAACCACAGCAACUCCAUCUUAAAUAGGAGCUGGCAAGGCAAGUUACUUCUAUAGAAGGGUGCGCCCUUACAGAUGGAGCAAUGCAGGACUACUUGUUACAAUUUGAGGAGGGAGGUGUCUUACCCCAGAGCCUGGCUGGAGAAGACUGAGGUUCAAGGCUUGAAGUCUAAGUGAUUGCCCCAGGACCUUGGAUGAUGGCCACAGAGAUAUCGAAAGUGGCUACUCCGCUGAGCCCCUUGGUCCAGUGGGAACCCACAUUGGCUUACUCUGAGCACCACAGAGGAACAAAGGGAGAGAUACAAGAGGUGCUCCCAGAAAGUGGGAGGAGAGAAGGACCAACCCCCAGAAGACAGGGGGCACAGAUUUGGCCAGUGGGAUUUUCCAGCUCUAGAACUGAGGACUUGGCACUUUGUAUCAUGUGUCCGUACAAUUUGGCUUCAUUCUUUCAUACCAGCCUUCUCCAUGUGGUGGAGGUGCAUGGCUGCUUCCAGACAUCAUCACUAGCAUAAAAAGCUCUUCCUCCCUGUGGAACUCCACUUCAGAAUUCUGGAGAAGGCCUCUGAUUGGUUUAGCUUUCAUAGCCUCUUUGAACAAUCACUAAAGACAGUGCUUGAUGCAUGAUAAUUAACAACAUUCCUGCCCUAUGACUGAAACAGAGAGAUCAGGGGUCCAUAAUUAGAAGUUCACACUAGAAUCACAUGAUUGAAAUGGAGAAAGGUAGAGAGAAACAAUUGAUGUUCAACGAAGCCUGUAAUAUGGAGGCAAAUAUGCCAUAUUUGGGUAUUCAUAAGCCUAUGGGAAGAAAGAAUCUGGAUAUCAUUUGGUUUCACAAACUAAUAUCCCAUCAAAAGUGAAAACAAACAGGAUGUAUUCAACAAAUAUUUAUACAGGUUCAAAUGAGCAAAGCUUGUUUAUUCCUGAUUUUUGACCACUCACUGGCUUUCUCAGUAUGCCACUGACAUUUUUGUCUCUGAAUGUGGAGGUCUUUCUAAAUUUGUCUUAGUAAUAUCCCUCCUGAAGGGUUUCCUAAUAUGCAAGAGAUAAAGAAUUACUAUAUACUUGCCCUCAGCAUGAAUUUCUUCAUAAGCUGGAUUCCAAAGGGAAUACUGCAUUCAUUACCAAAGUUAAAAUGCAUAAGUCUAUAGAGCUACGCUUUGAAAAUAUUUAAAAUACAAAAAGAUGUGUGCAUGUAUGUCUGAAUGCAAAUAUGUGUAUGUGUAUUUGCAUAUGUAAAAACUCUGCUGUAAAAUGAAAAAUAAAGGGCUGAGUAACCUAGAUAGUUCAACAACUUUUAAAGGAAAACAUAAACCUAUUAAAUUUGACUUUUGAUGUUUAUUUUGCCUGCAUCGUGAAAAUGUUGAUUUCAUUGGUCAUAGUAGUUGGCCAAUGACAGCAA